rfam:Desulfofustis glycolicus DSM 9705 genome assembly, contig: EJ46DRAFT_scaffold00014.14
AGGGCUGCGGACAGGACGUCCGCAGCCGGCGGUCAGGCCAUGGAUGGCCUGACCGCCGGCCU